rfam:Lupinus angustifolius cultivar Tanjil chromosome LG02, whole genome shotgun sequence.
ACCAUAUGAACCUACCGAUUGAAUGGUCUUGUGAAGUGUUUAGAUUGUGGCGACGUGGGUGGUUCGCUGGCGGCAAAGUUUUGAGAAGUCCACUGAACCUUAUCAUUUAGAGGAAGGAGAAUUUGUGACAAGGUUUCCGUAGGUGAACCUGUGGAAG